rnacentral:rRNA from 1 species
UCGAGGGGCAGCAUGAUUUGUAGCAAUACAGAUUGAUGGCGACCGGCGCACGGGUGAGUAACACGUGUGCAACCAACCCCGUACCGGGAGAUAACCCGCGGAAACGUGGACUAACAUCCCAUGAUACUCGAGAGCCGCAUGGCUCUAGAUUUAAAAUUCCGGUGGUACGGGACGGGCACGCGCGACAUUAGGUAGUUGGCGGGGUAAGGGCCCACCAAGCCGACGAUGUCUAGGGGUUCUGAGAGGAAGGUCCCCACACUGGAACUGAGACACGGUCCAGACUCC